UACGUAGGGGGGCGAGCGUUGUCCGGAUUUAUUGGGCGUAAAGAGCUCGUAGGCGGCUUAGCAAGUCGGGGUGUGAAAAACUCCAGGCUCAACCUGGAGACGCCACUCGAGACUGCUAUGGCUAGAGUCCGGUAGGGGGACCACGGGAAUUCCUGGUGUAGCGGGUGAAAAUGCGCAGAUAUCAGGAGGGAACACCCGGUGGCGAA
rnacentral:rRNA from 1 species